GAUGAACGCUGGCGGCGUGCCUAAUACAUGCAAGUCGAGCGGACGGACGAGAAGCUUGCUUCUCUGAUGUUAGCGGCGGACGGGUGAGUAACACGUGGAUAACCUACCUAUAAGACUGGGAUCACUUCGGGAAACCGGCGCUAAUACCGGAUAAUAUUUUGCACCGCAUGGUUCAAAAGUGAAAGACGGUCUUGCUGUCACUUAUAGAUGGAUCCGCGCUGCAUUAGCUAGUUGGUAAGGUAACGGCUUACCAAGGCAACGAUGCAUAGCCGACCUGAGAGGGUGAUCGGCCACACGGGAACUGAGACAGGGUCCAGACUCCUACGGGAGGCAGCAGUAGGGAAUCGUCCGCAAUGGGCGAAAGCCUGACGGAGCAACGCCGAGUGAGUGAUGAAGGUCUUCGGAGCGUAAAACUCUGUUAUUAGGGAAGAACAGAUGUGUAAGUAACUGUGCACAGCGUGACGGUACCUAAUCAGAAAGCCACGGCUAACUACGUG
rnacentral:rRNA from 1 species